CGCUCUCAUCUGGGGCAGGAAUGUAAAGAAGUGGCUCUGGCUCCUUCCACGCAGCCACAUAACCCAGAAUAUCAAUCCGCAAUAUCUGCUUUGAACAGGAUUAUCUCUGAGUCCACACUGCCAUAUAAUCUAGUUCAGUUUGGAUAUAAUACAGCUGUGUGGAACAGUGACUCAGGAAUACAGCUGCCUCUGAGCAUGUGCAGAAUGUUUUCCCCUCAUCUCUCAGAUGGUCCUGGAAUGUGAAUGAACUUGAUUGGAGCAAAGGCAGCAGAAGAGACAACAAGAGAAAAUACAUAAGGAGAAGGUAAUAAUUUAGAAGGUAACCACAGCCCCGGGCUGUGGCGCAGGCUGGAGAGCAAGCCAGCUCCAACCAGCUGCAAUGAAUCACUC
rnacentral:lncRNA from 11 species